UACGUAGGGUGCAAGCGUUGUCCGGAAUUAUUGGGCGUAAAGAGCUUGUAGGCGGUUUGUCGCGUCUGCUGUGAAAUUUCGGGGCUCAACCCCGAACUUGCAGUGGGUACGGGCAGACUAGAGUGUGGUAGGGGAGACUGGAAUUCCUGGUGUAGCGGUGAAAUGCGCAGAUAUCAGGAGGAACACCGAUGGCGAAGGCAGAUCUCUGGGCCGUAACUGACGCUGAGGAGCGAAAGCAUGGGGAGCGAACAGG
rnacentral:rRNA from 1 species